AACCAACAGGGAUUGCCUCAGUAACGGCGAGUGAAGCGGCAACAGCUCAAAUUUGAAAUCUGGCGCCUUCGGCGUCCGAGUUGUAAUUUGUAGAGGAUGCUAUUGGGUUGCCACCGGUCUAAGUUCCUUGGAACAGGACGUCACAGAGGGUGAGAAUCCCGUAUGUGACCGGCCAGGCGCCUUCUGUAUAGCUCCUUCGACGAGUCGGGUUGUUUGGGAAUGCAGCCCUAAAUGGGAGGUAAAUUUCUUCUAAAGCUAAAUACCGGCCAGAGACCGAUAGCGCACAAGUAGAGUGAUCGAAAGAUGAAAAGCACUUUGGAAAGAGAGUUAAAAAGCACGUGAAAUUGUUGAAAGGGAAGCGCUUGCAAUCAGUCUCGACGGCGGCUGUUCGGCCUCUCUUCUGAGUGGUUUAUUCAGUCGCCGCCGGGCCAGCAUCAGUUUUGGCGGUCGGAUAAAGGCGUGGGGAAUGUAGCUCCUCCGGGAGUGUUAUAGCCCCGCGUGCAAUACGGCCCGCCGGGACUGAGGUCCGCGCUUCGGCUAGGAUGCUGGCGAAAUGGUUGUAAGCGGCCCGUCUUGAAACACGGACCAAGGAGUCUAACAUCUACGCGAGUGUUUGGGUGUCAAACCCGUGCGCGCAAUGAAAGUGAACGGAGGUGGGAACCGCAAGGUGCACCAUCGACCGAUCCUGAUGUCUUCGGAUGGAUUUGAGUAAGAGCGUAGCUGUUGGGACCCGAAAGAUGGUGAACUAUGCCUGAAUAGGGUGAAGCCAGAGGAAACUCUGGUGGAGGCUCGCAGCGGUUCUGACGUGCAAAUCGAUCGUCAAAUUUGGGUAUAGGGGCGAAAGACUAAU
rnacentral:rRNA from 1 species